GAGGCGGCACCUGCUCCCGUCCCAGGCCGGAGUUUGCAAGCUGCUCGCCGCCCGCGCCCCUCCCUGGGAGCAGCCCGGGACCGCGGUUGGAAAGGAGAAAGCGGAAAGAAAGAAAGAAAAGAAAAAGAGAGAGGGAGAGUGAAUCUGGGAGAAAGCGCAGAGGGAAGAGCAGCCAGCGAGUGUCCGGAGCGAGGAGGAGGAGGAGGAGAAGGAGAGGGGGAAGAAGAGGAGGAGGAGGAAGGCUCGGCGCCCCCUCCCUCGCCGCCAACCUGCCGCGGGGCGUGCGGUGCUUGGGACCAUGUGCCCGCGCUCGCUCCGGGCCGCCACCCAGCGCCUCCGGUGGCUGCGCGGGCGCCCCAAGUGUUCGUGUGUCUGCGGCGGGUGGGCGUCCGGCUCGCGCUGCCAAGCGCCCCAAGUUGCCGCCGCGCCCCGCAGCGGGGACGCGAAGCCGGCGCGGGGCGGGUGUAUUUACCUGCCGCCAAGACCUUCAUUAUGGGCUGCACUUCAGAGGGCCUUGGAGGAAACCUCAGAUGCCGGCAGUUUUCAGAGGUUCAUGCUCAAAUGGGGAAUUUGCCUGAUUUAUAUACUGGAGCCUGUGUUGUAAGACAGAAACAGCUAUAUUUAGCCGGGAUCCCCAGUCCAGGAAGUUGUUUGAGGUGCAUCAUAGGAAAUUAUGAAUGGAAGAAAGUGAGAGUGAAGGGGGGGGACGAGUGAGGGGGGAGGGUGGGGAGAACAGACUUUUUCCCUCUUCUAAGAAUUUGAUUGAUAAAAUUAUAAUGAAGCCUUCGACAAAA
rnacentral:lncRNA from 10 species